AAAAAGCCUCUACCACAUCACCGAGGCCACUCCUCCCCGGAAUCCCACGCCACAGCCGAAUCCCGCGGCGCGUUCUCCUCCCAAAACCCAGCCGCACCGCGGGGUGGAGAAUCGGCCCGAGCUUGGCUUCGGCGCGAGCAGGGGCCGGCGGCCACCGCGGGAGGAAGACGGGAUGCCGCGUCCCUUACCCGCGCUGGCGACGCGUGCAGCAAAGAGAAUGGCGGG
rnacentral:lncRNA from 1 species